GCACUGAAAAGAAUAUAAUUCAAUUUUUAUUUAUAUUUUUAUUAAAUAUACUUUUAAGUCCAUCUUUAAAAAGGUGUUAAAACUUUUAUCUGAAAAAAAAAAUUAUUGUAACUCGCCUUAAUUACUUACUUAUAGGCUGCACUUUGAUUUGUAUUUUCCUUUUGUAGAGGAAGAAUUUGCCUUUGGCAAAUCCUAGACAACGGUAUACAAGCUAUUUAAAGUAAGGAGUAUUUACUUGGUGGUUGUCAAUUAUAUGGUAAGUUCCCCUAAAAAUACCUACAGCCGCCAUAAUAUUUAAGUUUGGACCUAAUAGUAAGUAUUAAUCCUUGUCUUAUGAAUUUAAUUUCCGUAUAACUGGGUAUCUAAUCCGGGUUUAUAUAUGGGAGUUUAGUAUGAUCAACAAUAUGGUUAAAGCUUUAGGCAUUAAUAGUAUUUCACUACAUAUAAAUUUUAUUUAUAUAUUUACAACUAAUGACAAUAAUUAUAAAUUAAUCUAUUAGGUUUGACCGCGGUUGCUGGCACCUAAUAAACCUAGACUAAACAAUUAGCUAAAUUUAAAUUUCUUUAAUUUAUUAAUACUUUUAACUGAGAAAAUUAUUUAUAGCUCAUAUUACACUAUGUUGUAUAUUUAUAAGUUCAUCAGAUUAAAGUGACUACUUAAGGGGGUAUCUACCAUUUUAGG
rnacentral:rRNA from 1 species